rnacentral:rRNA from 1 species
GCAGUCGACGGACUUUUCAUGAAGCCUAGCGAUUGAAGAGUUAGUGGCGGACGGGUGAGUAACGCGUGGGUAACCUGCCUUGUACUGGGGGACAACAGUUGGAAACGACUGCUAAUACCGCAUAAGCGCACAGCUUCGCAUGAAGCAGUGUGAAAAACUCCGGUGGUACAAGAUGGACCCGCGUCUGAUUAGCUGGUUGGUGAGGUAACGGCCCACCAAGGCGACGAUCAGUAGCCGGCCUGAGAGGGUGAACGGCCACAUUGGGACUGAGACACGGCCCAAACUCCUACGGGAGGCAGCAGUGGGGAAUAUUGCACAAUGGGGGAAACCCUGAUGCAGCAACGCCGCGUGAGUGAAGAAGUAUUUCGGUAUGUAAAGCUCUAUCAGCAGGAAAGAAAAUGACGGUACCUGACUAAGAAGCCCCGGCUAACUACGUGCCAGCAGCCGCGGUAAUACGUAGGGGGCAAGCGUUAUCCGGAUUUACUGGGUGUAAAGGGAGCGUAGAUGGUUUUGCAAGUCUGAAGUGAAAGCCCGGGGCUUAACCCCGGGACUGCUUUGGAAACUGUAGAACUAGAGUGCAGGAGAGGUAAGUGGAAUUCCUAGUGUAGCGGUGAAAUGCGUAGAUAUUAGGAGGAACACCAGUGGCGAAGGCGGCUUACUGGACUGU